GAUGAACGCUGGCGGCGUGCCUAAUACAUGCAAGUCGAGCGAACAGAUGAGGAGCUUGCUCCUCUGACGUUAGCGGCGGACGGGUGAGUAACACGUGGAUAACCUACCUAUAAGACUGGGAUAACUUCGGGAAACCGGAGCUAAUACCGGAUAAUAUAUUGAACCGCAUGGUUCAAUAGUGAAAGACGGUUUUGCUGUCACUUAUAGAUGGAUCCGCGCCGCAUUAGCUAGUUGGCAAGGUAACGGCUUACCAAGGCAACGAUGCGUAGCCGACCUGAGAGGGUGAUCGGCCACACUGGAACUGAGACAAGGUCCAGACUCCUACGGGAGGCAGCAGUAGGGAAUCUUCCGCAAUGGGCGAAAGCCUGACGGAGCAACGCCGCGUGAGUGAUGAAGGUCUUCGGAUCGUAAAACUCUGUUAUUAGGGAAGAACAAAUGUGUAAGUAACUAUGCACGUCUUGACGGUACCUAAUCAGAAAGCCACGGCUAACUACGUG
rnacentral:rRNA from 1 species